AAACUAUUGGGAAUCUAGGAUGCCACUGGAACAUGUAAAAUGGCAGCUAAGGUCUAUGGAAACCCUUCAUGUUUAGAAACUGGCUAAAGCUUGAGUUCUCUUAUCUUUUGGUUAAGGGCACCACUUUCAGAUAAAAACAUAGACCUGAAUGGCAUCAUCCAGUAUCCAAGGAAACCAUGCUUGCUUGAAGAGUGAGCAGGUGAGCAAAGAGACAAGAUUACAUGUUUAAACCAAGAAAAGAAUCUUGAAAGUAAGUGUAAUGACCAAGAUGCAAAAAUCUGUUUGGGGAAAUUGUUGGGAGGUUGGCACAUCAUUUUCUUUAUCCCCUCCCCACAAACUAAUGUACAUUUCUGCAGCUAAUAUCAAAGUUUUAAUUCAUGUUCAGGAGCUAUGAAAUCUACUGUGGAAAUUUAGUUUCUAAACAACAUGCUACUCUGGAGAAAGACAUUCCUAAAAUAUUUGAAAUUUCUACUAUUUCCGUACUUCGACUUUUUUUUUGUUAUUUGUACUAUCUCCUUUUAAAAUUAAAUUAUUUUCAAUGU
rnacentral:lncRNA from 1 species